GGCUCGGUGGUCUAUUAUUAUUAUUUUCGCUUUGGGUGCGAGAGGGCCCGGGUUCAAAUCCCGGUUGAGCCC